UACGAAGGGGGCUAGCGUUGCUCGGAAUCACUGGGCGUAAAGGGUGCGUAGGCGGGUCUUUUAAGUCAGGGGUGAAAUCCUGGAGCUCAACUCCAGAACUGCCUUUGAUACUGAAGAUCUUGAGUUCGGGAGAGGUGAGUGGAACUGCGAGUGUAGAGGUGAAAUUCGUAGAUAUUCGCAAGAACACCAGCGGCGAAGGCGGCUGUCUGGUCCGGUUCUGACGCUGAGGCGCGAAAGCGUGGGGAGCAAACAGG
rnacentral:rRNA from 1 species